rnacentral:lncRNA from 1 species
GGUUAUAGACAGGGUUAUAGACAGGGUUAUAGACAGGGUUAUAGAGGGUUUAGGCUAGGGAUAGGAUACAGGGUUAUAGGCAGGGUUAUAGACAGGGUUAUAGACAGAAUUAUAGACAGGGUUAUAGGGGUUUUAGGCUAGGGAUAGGAUACAGGGUUAUAGACAGGGUUAUAGACAGGGUUAUAGAGGGUUUAGGCUAGGGAUAGGAUACAGGGUUAUAGACAGGGUUAUAGACAGAGUUAUAGACAGGGUUAUAGGGGGUUUAGGCUAGGGCUAGGAUACAGGGUUAUAGACAGGGUUAUAGACAGGGUUAUAGACAGGAUUAUAGACAGGGUUAUAGACAGGGUUAUAGACAGGGUUAUAUGCAGGGUUAUAUGCAGGGUUAUAUGCAGGGUUAUAGAGGUUCUAGGCAGGGUUAUAGAGGUUCUAGGCUAGGGACAGGAUAUAUGUUAUAGACAGGGUUAUAUGCAGGGUUAUUAUAGACAGGGUUAUAGUAGAGGUAUACUCAGUAGCAAGCUGACCCAGCUAAUUAGUUAGGUAGUGUAUACCCAGUAGCCAGU